rnacentral:lncRNA from 1 species
AACAUAUGAAUACAUUCAUGAAAUACAGUGAGACAGUGAAUACAAUGAAAUACAUGGAAUACAGCUAGAUACCAUGAAAUACAAUGAAAAAAAGACAGUGAAUACAAAUGAAAUACAUGGAAUACAGUGAGAUACAUUGAAAUACAAUGAAAAAAAAGGUAACAAACUUUUCAAAGGCAAAGUAUUAUGUGGCAAUGCCGUCAUUUUUUAAGAUGAAAUUGUAGGUUGUGGUCAUUAAACUGUCGUCGCAGCCGUUGUUUUCGGUGGUGCAAUCUAACAGUUGUUGUUCGGAGAGUGAAAUCAAGUUGUCUACUGAGAGUUUGUACCGGAGGAGGGGGUUGGGGCGACACAAAAAGGAAGAGGGAAGUGGUCGCCGGUCGAAUCUGUCGUUGGCGGAACACAAUCCCUGCUAGGGUUUCUAAAAGCAGGGGAGGAAAAACCUGGGGAAAAAGAGAAGAAAGAGAAAGGAGGAGAGAGUCUAGGGAGAGGGAGAGAGAAAAAUAAUAUACAGCGUAUUUAAUGGCUUAAAGGUAGGAAUUGGCCAUAAAUAGAAAUUUUGCUAUAAAAAUUAAUAGGUAGCUAUAGGAGAUAAUUUUUUUAAAAGGGUAUUUAUUUAUAAUAAAUAAGGUAUCAACCUUUGCUAUAGGAUGUAAAAUUUCCUUUUAAAUUAGCUAAGUAGCCCCAUUUGGACCAAAUGUCCAGACCAGUUAAUCAACAUGGCUUCUCAACAUAAUUUGAAAAUGUCAGAAAUAAAACAUUAAUUACAGACUUUCUUAAACACUAAUACAUGAAUACUUCGAACUAAAACACUACGUUACUGAAAAGAACAAAGAAAAUUAUUUCAAAUCUUCACUCAUAUUAACAGACAAGUCUAUGAACCCAAGCACCUUCUAUUUUUUAUUUUUUAUUUUCUUGAACAAUAUUACAACAAAUGAACCUUGAAUGCUAAACUCAUCAUCACUACACGCCUUUGAUUUCAAAUUAAACCCAUGAGUCACAGUCGCACCCUUAUGUGUGUACAGAAGUAGUGGUGAUGGACCUAUUCCAAUCAAGAUUUCACAAGCUCAUAUUAAUACUUAACUAACAAAGACUUUAUAUCAAGAUGAGUAGUCAGUUAGUAGCAAUUAACCCAGAUAACGAGUAAAUAUAGCUUAGAUUUUAAGCUUGAGUAAACCAACAGAAUCAGACACUUACUAAGAAAACAAAGAUGAACCAAGUUUAAACCCACAAGUAUCAGGAAGACAUAGAACUAGGCAUACACAAGAUGUCAACACAUUAACUCUGUAUUUCUACAUUCACAAGAGUUACAGGAAAGAAAUUUACAUACCUACUAGCAAGAGACAAUCAACAAAAGGCCCAAAUGAAACUGGAGAGAGUAAGUUCAACAAAAACAGAAACAGCAGCAGCAAGCAAAACAGUAGAGAAUAACUCCAGAAUCAAACUUUAAGGUUCAACCCCAAAAUUAUCUCAAAGAAAAUCAGAAAUUGAUGAAGAAGACCAGAAUUUUUUAGAGAUAUCUAGGGAUUUUGUGUGUGUACUAUCUUCUAAGAGUGUAGGAAUUGAAAAAGGAAAUGCAGAGAUUUUUUUUAGUGAGUAUUCAGAGAAUUAGUGUGAAAGUCCAUCCCUAAAAUGGGUGUGUGAGUUGAGCCUUAUAUAGAGUGUGAGUGUGCUAAGGGAUAAGAAUGAGAGGUACCAGGGAAUCUACCAGCAUGCCCUUAAAAUCAGGAAACAAGCAUCUUUCAAAACAGAAAAAAUGGGCAGUUGUCCAAUUUUCAUCAUCUUUUAUCAACAGUUUUGGAUAGCUGGUGCUUUUCUAGAAACUUCCUAAACAAAUACCAAAGAAUUCCUAUUUUUUGCCUUCCAAUUAAACCCCCUCAAGUUCUAUUUACUACAAGUAAACACCCCAAAGAAUUACACAGAUUGUGACUAAAAAUGAUAGGCAAAAACAGCCAUCCAUUUGACAAAUUAAUUAAACAUAUGCAAUUAGACUAAUUAGCAUGAAAUUGAACUACUAAUUCAGCUACACUAAUUAACACUAAACCAAAUGGACAAAUUAUUUGCAAUUGCAGGCCACCCUAACAAACAAAACAAAAAAAAACAAAAAUGAAGACAUGAUAGAAUGGGGUAAGGAUAUACCUAUUGAAAGAGAGACAAAGCCAUGAAACCCUUUUUCGAUGAAGCUCGGCCAGUCAGUGGUGAGUUGGCCGGAGUCCGGUGACUUCGAAAUUGGUCAAAACUAACGCAAAUGAUUGAUUAAAGUGAGUCUCGACCCAAAACGAACAAAAUACCCCAAGUAAUUUGACAAAGGUCAAACUAGGAUUUUUCUGGAAAUUUACAUCUAAAAUUCACUAAUUUUGGUGGGGUUUCUGAUGGAAUUGAAAGGAAAUAUGAGAUAAGAGGAGUGUGGUGGUUGUCUGGUGAGAAAAUGGGGUUGUUUGGAGUGGCGGCGGCCGCCGAAAACCGAAACAAAAUGGGGCUGUUUGGAGUGGCGUCCGCCGCCGUGGGCGAUUUUCGGCGGUGGCCAGCGGCGAUGGUUUAGAGGGGUAAAAGAGAGGUGAAAGAGACGGAGUAAGGGGGGUCUUUGGGGUUAGGGGUGUUUCAGACACUUUUAAGGGAAUUAAAGCCUAGUUCCUGGUUGUUUGAUGGAGGAAAAUGAACGACCAUGAUUGACCAUCGCCAAAAUGGAGUCGUUUUAUUAAUUAGGGGUGCUGGACCGGGUUAAAGGUUCUGACUGGGG